ensembl:lncRNA
CACAUGUUCAUACCAGCAGUCUAUAACAACUAGACACAGGUUCAUACCAGCAGGCUAUAACAACUAGACACAUGUUCAUACCAGCAGUCUAUAACAACUAGACACAGGUUCAUACCAGCAGUCUAUAACAACUAGACACAGGUUCAUACCAGCAGUCUAUAACAAAUAGACACAUGUUCAUACCAGCAGUCUAUAACAACUAGACACAGGUUCAUACCAGCAGUCUCUAACAAAUAGACACAGGUUCAUACCAGCAGUCUAUAACAAAUAGACACAUGUUCAUACCAGCAGUCUAAAUCUAUAACAAAGGCAGUUUCAUAACAUAAGUCUAAAUCUAUAAACAAAGGCAGGUUCAUAGCAGAAGUCUAAAUCUAUAACAAAGACAGGUUCAUAACAGCAGUCGAAAUCUAUAACAAAGACAGGUUCAUAACAGCAGUCUAAAUCUAUAACAAAGACAGGUUCAUAGCAGAAGUCUAAAUCUAUAACAAAGACAGGUUCAUAACAGAAGUCUAAAUCUAUAACAAAGACAGGUUCAUAACAGAAGUCUAAAUCUAUAACAAAGACAGGUUCAUAACAGCAGUCUAAAUCUAUAACAAAGACAGGUUCAUAACAGAAGCCACUAACUGCAGUAUGUUGUUAGACGUACCAUUUAGGUGAGGUAGAAAUCCUAAAUGGACUAUGACUAGUUACUGUAACCCAGUGAAUUCCUCUGGGGCAGACUCUCCAGAUGAGUCUGUGAGAGACUGGCACAGCAGAGCCUGGCAGGACUGGGACCGGCUACUGGAAGAAGUCACACUCCCAAUACUGCCAGCAUUGCCAUGAAGACCCAGAAAACACUAUACUGUAUGAAAACAUGAUAGGGAUGGAAAGUAUUUUACUGUAAUAUUCAGAUGUUCUGUCUAGUUUCCUUCAUGUUUUUUUCUAAGACAUUUUUUGUCCACUCUUGUUCCUAUCUGUAUGAGGCCUUGUUCUCGUCCCUCAUUUAUGUACUACAGGUCAAAGUUUAAUUAAAGAUGCUUUUUCCCAAGAUGCACUGGGCUUCGAGGGCAGCUGUCAUGGGUAAUGGUGGAACCAAUUUGUCAUCUGGAGAGAGAAUGACAGUAAUCCUGCCAACAGAGAGAAAGAUGUCAGGAGAAUAAUGCACAUGGAGAUGGAGAAGAAAGCCUGGAGAGACAGUGACACCGUAGAGAAGAGAGAAAGAGAUAGGAGGAGGAAGAGAGAGAGAGAGACUGUAAUCCUGUCUAAUUCACUUAGUGAAGCGCUGAAGGGGCAAGACACUAAGAGGAUUGGGACAUUCUCUAAAUUAGAUCAGUAAAAAUAACUAAGUGCAAGGAGAGGUGAGAACGAGUGUGGACAUGUGGGCACAUGGACACAGGACAGGGGAACAGGACAGGACAGAACAGGGGGACAUGAAAGGACAUGGGAACAGGACGGGAGAGGGGGACUAAGGAUGAUAGUGGACAUCUUCACUGACAGACAUCAGAUAAUGUUGACCUAGUGCUCCUGUAUGAGACUUCUCUCCAAGUCAGAGAAGGAACCAGAAUCCCCUAUUUAGUUCUACUUCAAUUGAACCCUAAUUCUAAGGCUGACCUACCCCCUUUCCCUCUCUCCUCCAACCCUGACUAUGCCCGAAUCAGACUUCUCUCAUAAACAAAUCUAAUCCUGACAAUAAUCUCAGUCCAAGACAUGGACAAUAAUCUUGGAUCCAAACACUGACUAUUACUCUCGAUAAUAACUAGGUGUUAAACUUUAAGCCCCAGUAUUGACUUAGUAAAAUAAUAUAACAUGAUUGUCAGUCAAGUGUUGAUCCAGUGAUAGGCCUAACCAUAAUACUGAUCAUAUUACAACACUAAAUUCCACUGAGACUACUGUAUUUACCCUCAAAACGAAUUAUGGAGUGAGUCCUUCCUGUUCCGAUUCUAUUUGACAUAAAAUCAUGACAAUAAUAAUAACAGAACAUUUUCAUAAAAACAAGAAUAACAAUAACUUUAUUUGUAUAGCACUACUUAAUACAAGUAACAAAGUGCUUCACGUCAUAAAACAAAAGUACUAACAAAGAAACAAAAACAAGAGGAAGGAGAAAUGAAAAAAAGAAGAUGGCUAAUUAAAAUCGCACUGUACAUUGAAAUCAAACCUUAAAUGCAUCUUUAUGAAAGUGUAUCUUCACAGUGUCAAAAGAGGAUGGAAUGAACAGUAUUCUCAGUGAUAAUGAUAGAAUAUGAUUACAUUCAUACCUCCCUUAUCUCACCUCAUUUGCUCACAUUGUAUAUAGACUUAUUUUUCUACUGAAUUAUUGACUGUAUGUUUGUUUUACUCCAUGUGUAACUCUGUUGUUGUAUGUGUCGAACUGCUUUGCUUUAUCUUGGCCAGGUCG